rnacentral:rRNA from 1 species
GAUGAACGCUGGCGGCGUGCCUAAUACAUGCAAGUCGAACGCAUAGCGAAAGGUGCUUGCCCCUUUCAAGUGAGUGGCGAACGGGUGAGUAACACGUGGACAACCUGCCUCAAGGCUGGGGAUAACAUUUGGAAACAGAUGCUAAUACCGAAUAAAACUUAGUGUCGCAUGACACAAAGUUAAAAGGCGCUUCGGCGUCACCUAGAGAUGGAUCCGCGGUGCAUUAGUUAGUUGGUGGGGUAAAGGCCUACCAAGACAAUGAUGCAUAGCCGAGUUGAGAGACUGAUCGGCCACAUUGGAACUGAGACACGGCCCAAACUCCUACGGGAGGCUGCAGUAGGGAAUCUUCCACAAUGGGCGAAAGCCUGAUGGAGCAACGCCGCGUGUGUGAUGAAGGCUUUCGGGUCGUAAAGCACUGUUGUAUGGGAAGAACAGCUAGAAUAGGAAAUGAUUUUAGUUUGACGGUACCAUACCAGAAAGGGACGGCUAAAUACGUG